CUUGAACUUGUGUACUCACCUUUUAUCUAUGCGGAUUUUCAUUUUUUUUUUUUUCUUCGAUGACGUCAUCACCGGAACACUAUAAAAGUCGGGCAAACGAAGCAGUCAGUUUUGCACGCCGCCUCUGACGGAGAGGAGUCCUCCUCCACCUGCAGCUCUGCACGCAUUUCCACCAGCUCAUCUAAAACUUCGAUUAUGUGAGUAUUCUCUUUUUUAGACACAAGCGUGCUAAGGUGCAAGCUAAAUUUUAGACGUGCGUUGGCAAUGGACGCCUUAAAUUGCACCAAAAAGCAUUCAUUUGCCAUCUGGACGCCGGCGCUGUUACCUCAAGGCCUGUAUCUGCAACA